AGAGUUUGAUCUUGGCUCAGGACGAACGCUGGCGGCGUGCUUAACAUAUGCAAGUCGAACGGAGUGUAGCAAUAUAUUUAGUGGUGGACGGGUGAGUAACACGUGAGCAACUUGCCCUAUACAACGGGAUAACACAGAGAAAUUUGUGCUAAUACCGUAUAAGACCACACUAAGGCAUCUUAGAGGGGUCAAAGCGAAUGCGGUAUAGGAGGGGCUCGCGGCCCAUUAGCUAGUUGGUGAGGUAACGGCCCACCAAGGCGACGAUGGGUAGCCGACCUGAGAGGGUGAACGGCCACAUUGGAACUGAGAAACGGUCCAAACUCCUACGGGAGGCAGCAGUGGGGAAUAUUGGGCAAUGGAGGAAACUCUGACCCAGCAACGCCGCGUGAAUGAAGAAGGCCUUCGGGUUGUAAAGUUCUUUAGUGAGGGACGAACAAAUGACGGUACCUCGAGAAUAAGCCAUGACUAACUACGUGCCAGCAGUUGUGGUAAUACGUAGGUGGCAAGCGUUGUCCGGAAUGACUGGGCGUAAAGGGAGUGUAGGCGGUGCAACAAGUUAGGAGUGAAAUCCCGUGGCUUAACCACGGAACUGCUUUUAAAACUGUUGUGCUUGAGUGAUGGAGAGGAAAGCGGAAUUCCUAGUGUAGCGGUGGAAUGCGUAGAUAUUAGGAGGAACACCAGAGGCGAAGGCGGCUUUCUGGACAUUAACUGACGCUGAGGCUCGAAAGCGUGGGGAGCAAACAGGAUUAGAUACCCUGGUAGUCCACGCUGUAAACGAUGGAUACUAGAUGCGGGGAGUAUCGACUCUUUCCGUGUCGUCGCAAACGCAAUAAGUAUCCCGCCUGGGGAGUACGGCCA
rnacentral:rRNA from 1 species